rnacentral:misc_RNA from 1 species
GAUGAAGAACGCAGCGAAAUGCGAUACGUAAUGUGAAUUGCAAAUUCAGUGAAUCAUCGAGUCUUUGAACGCACAUUGCGCCCCCUGGUAUUCCGGGGGGCAUGCCUGUCCGAGCGUCAUUGCUGCCCUCAAGCACGGCUUGUGUGUUGGGCCUCCGUCCUCCUCCCGGGGGACGGGCCCGAAAGGCAGCGGCGGCACCGCGUCCGGUCCUCGAGCGUAUGGGGCUUCGUCACCCGCUCUUGUAGGCCCGGCCGGCGCUUGCCGACACAUCAAUCUUUUUUCCAGGUUGACCUCGGAUCAGGUAGGGAUACCCGCUGAACUUAAGCAUAUCAAUAAGCGGAGG